ensembl:lncRNA
GUUAAAAACAAUCAGAACCAUUAAAUUUGUAAUUAAAUGGUAUGUAAUUACUUUUUUUAUGGAUUAUAAUUAAAAUGUAAAAAAAAAAAAGACAUCACCAUACCAACGAUAUCUCAGAAAAGUGCAUCGCAUAAUAAUUUAUCACGGUGCCAAUAUAUCGCCCAACCCAUUAGGUGAUGCAGUAUAUUUAAAUUGAUAUGAUGGCAGUUCAGUGUGGGACAAGUGAAGCUGUAGUGUUGUGCCCAGUUGUGUGUUUUGGUUGGCCCAGAAAUCUAACACACAGCGAGCUGAAUGAACUGGCUAGUUAAAUGCGUUAAUGCAGAAUAAGGGAAAUGAAUGUGUCUAUGAUCACUGUUCACUUAUAAACUAGCAAAGUUUAUAAUGUAGCACAUCUAUAUUUGCGCUUUCAACAAAAGGCUGACAAGUUGUUGGCUGAUGUUUGUCCUUUCGUGCAUCUCUCACAAAACGUAUUAAUCGAGUCUGACUAGAGUCUUUAUUUUCUCUGUUUGUGUAAGCACACGGUGACUGGGUUCUGUUAGCCGGAGAGUUAUUUGUAUAUGACAGCUUUUUUCGGUUUUGUUACAUACCCGCGUUCCUGAUUUUGAAAAGAUUAUCUGUGGUGUACUCUGAUUAAUCCAUGUAGUAGGUGGUGGGAUUCAGAUGUACAUACUAUUCAAUUCUAUUUUAUUUGUAUAACGGUUUUAACAGUGGACAUUCUCUAAAGCAGCUUUACAGAAACAUUUAAACACAGGAUAUAGAUUUUAAGUGUGUGAAUUUAUCCCUAACGAACAAGUUGGUGGAGACGGUGCUGAGGAAAAACACUAAGAUGAUCUGAGGAAGAAACCUUGAGAGGAACCAGACUCGGAAGGGAACCCGUCCUCAUCUGGGUGACAACGGAUAGUGUGAAAGUAAAGGGAAGUUCAUUAUGGUUUUUAUAUGAAGUCUGUUUUGUUGAACUGAUCCACUGUUCAUUAAAGAAGACUUGAGUGCAAAACUGUAUGUGGUAAUUGCAGUCCUAAGGCCAUAGCAGCAACCGUAGUUCCAGCAUCACAGCAAGAAUGUCCAUGUGAAACUGUGGUCCAAAACCAUUUCCAUGGUACUUCAAGCGGCGUCAUCCUCAGCAAUCUCCAGGCUGCACUGCUUGGGGUCGUCCUCAGUAGCAGAAUGUAGCCUCCAGUUGAUGAGAGCUCCAAUCAGAGGUAGGGCAUCAGGAUGGACCAGGCAGGUCCGGAGAUCAGAAAGGGUCAGGAUCGCUGGCAUCUCCAUAAUAUCAUGGGUGGCUCGACAGAAGGAGAGAGGGAGAGGAUGGUAAAGAGAGGGAGAGAUUGUUAGGUAUGCUUACUACCCCAUAAUGGAUAAGACAGUGUACUUUGCAUCGAAAAAGUCUAUUCAUGGAAACUUGAGUAAACACAUGUUUUCAGCCUGGACUUAAAUACUGUGACUGCGUCUGAGUCCCGAACACUAAUUGGAAGGCUUUUCCAUGAAUGUGGGGCUUUGUAAGAGAAAGCUCUUUCUCUUGCUGUAGCCUGCACUAUUCGAGGUACCAACAAAUAGCCUGCACCUUUUGAUCUAAGUAGGCGUGGCGGGUCAUAGAAGACCAAAAGUUCGCUCAGGUACUGUGGCACGAGACCAUUCAGUGCUUUAUAGGUCAAUGGUAGUAUUUUAGUUACUGCAUUGUGUGGUACUCCCACCUACAUGAAGCGCAUUAUGUUUAAACUGCAUCCAUAUCCUACACAGGAUCACAGGGAGCCCUGGAGCCUAUCCCAGGGGACUCGGGGAACAAACCCUGGACUGGGUGCCAGCCUAUCACAAGGAACGAUCACAUUAGGGCUGCAACAACUAAUCAAUCAUUACAAUAAUAUUCAGUGAAUCUCAUUAUGGAUUAGUCGGGUCUGUGACGUCACUGUGGGUAUACCCACCCACCUCCCCGCCCCAUCAGUGAUGUCACUUCACAACGGUGAAAAACGUAUUUCUAUUAAUAAAACACACGAGAAAAACAGUAGAGAUCACAGAGUGAGGGGGGAAAGUGCACGAUCCAGGUCGUCCAAAACAUGAGUGAUUUAUAUUAAGCGCUUCAAAUAAACUCGUAAGUGUAUUGUUGUUGCUUGUCGUGUCAGACUCUGCAACCGGUGCGUGCCUGGUUGUGAAAUCUGAUUAGACACCUGGGCAUGUGAUUUGUCUUCUCUGCAGUUAUUCUUGCUGAAGAUAUGAUUAGCUAGUUAACAUUUUCCCUGUGGAGUCCGGCUAGCCUGUGCACAGACUGAACCGAGAUUAGGAAGUUUUACAUUUUGUCCAUUUGCUGUUUGUCCAUUUUUGAGCUUCUAGCACAUUUAAAAAAAAACAAAAAAAAAAACAUUAGUUGGCCACAGGUGUUCUACACAGUGGUGUCAUUUAGGUGUCUCAGUGCAUUAAAGCAAAUUCCUUCUUGAUCAGAAGUAGUGUGUGUGUGUGUCACAGGACUUCGAUAGGCAGCAUUAGUGCUUUGAGGUUCAGCCUUUCCCGCUUGCAGUCAAGAAGCUGGUUUUAAUUUGUAGAGGGAGAGGGGGGGAGGUUGCUGUGUGUAUCUGCUCCUUCACCUUCCAUUCCAUGCCUAAAGCAUGAGCUGGUACAGGGUCAAAACCAGAUGGGAUCUAAUACCAUGCAGCAGGUCUGAGUCCUUUACAAAAGCGAAAGUUAGACGCUUGGCUGUAUACAUGUGCCAAACAGCUGUACAUUCCACAGCUUGUCUCGCAAGUCUGCAUUUGGGGGGGAGAACAAUGUUAGCGCUGGAAAAAAUGAACAAAAGAAAGGAGAGGUGAGAGGAGGCCCCAUGCAAUGUUGAAACGCGGGAUAUAUCUGAAUUCUUCGUGCCUGAUGUUUUUCUCUUCAGUGAUGCAGAUGCAUUAACAUGAGCAUGCAUUCUGAAUUAAAAUGACUGAAGUGCUAGAGUGACUUGUAGUUACUACAUUUCUUGUAUCAGGGAUGGAUUAAAAUGUUGUGCAGUCACUUGAGGGUUUUUCCACAACCGUUCUUCUCAGAAAUCUGCUUGCAGCCAUCGAUAGCUUCCUUUAUCUGCCCGUUCAGGUACUUCAUAUGUUUUCUGCCCCUAGCCAGUUCAGGUACUUCAUAUGUUUUCCACCCCUAGCCAGUUCAGGUACUUCAUAUGUUUUCCGCCCCUAGCCAGUUCAGGUACUUCAUAUGAUUUCUGCCCCUAGCCAGUUCAGGUACUUCAUAUGAUUUCUGCCCCUAGCCAGUUCAGGUACUUCAUAUGAUUUCUGCCUCUAGCCAGUUCAGGUACUUCAUGUUUUCCACCGCUAGCCAGUUCAGGUACUUCAUAUGAUUUCUGCCCCUAGCCAGUUCAGGUACUUCAUAUGAUUUCUGCCUCUAGCCAGUUCAGGUACUUCAUGUUUUCCACCGCUAGCCAGUUCAGGUACUUCAUAUGAUUUCUGCCCCUAGCCAGUUCAGGUACUUCAUAUGAUUUCUGCCUCUAGCCAGUUCAGGUACUUCAAAUGAUUUCUACCCCUAGCCAGUUCAGGUACUUUAUACGAUUUCUACCCCUAGCCAGUUCAGGUACUUCAAAUGAUUUCUACCCCUAGCCAGUUCAGGUACUUCAUACGAUUUCUACCCCUAGCCAGUUCAGGUUC